rnacentral:rRNA from 1 species
CGCAGCCGCGGUAAUUCCAGCUCCAAUAGCGUAUAUUAAAGUUGUUGCAGUUAAAAAGCUCGUAGUUGAAUUUCGGAACCAAUAUGUCGGUCGUGCCUCGGUACGUACUGGUGUCAUUGGUUUCUCCCUUCUGAGGAUCCUUGAUGUCAUUAAUUUGGUGUCUUGGGGAAUCAGGACUGUUACCUUGAAAAAAUUAGAGUGUUUAAAGCAGGCAUACGCUUGAAUACAUUAGCAUGGAAUAAUGAAAUAGGACGUUCGAUUCUAUUUUGUUGGUUUCUUAGGAUCGACGUAAUGAUUAAUAGGGAUAGUUGGGGGCAUUAGUAUUCAAUUGUCAGAGGUGAAAUUCUUGGAUUUAUUGAAGACUAACUACUGCGAAAGCAUUUGCCAAGGAUGUUUUCAUUAAUCAAGAACGAAAGUUAGGGGAUCGAAGACGAUCAGAUACCGUCGUAG